UUUUAAUAAAUAAUUUUCAGGCCCGUAGCUACUAACGGGCAAAGGUGGGCAUUGCCCACCCUGGAAUCUUGAUUGACCACCCUGAGAAAAG